AUGGAUUAAGGCAUAAACAUAUUAAAUGUAUUUUAAAUUAACUGAUUGUACAAAUAUAAGACCCAAUUAAAAAUGCAACAAGAUAAGAAGGAUAAUUCGUAAAUAAAGUAACCAUAAAAUGGAUCAAUACACAACACGCGUAAAUAUAUAGGGACUGAAAUUGAAAAUCCUCCCAGGCCCAAAACGCAUCACUGUAUCAUGGACUAAAAUGAAAACGCGCCCAAAUCAAUGAGCCAAAUUGAAAAAAAAAGCAAAGCGAAAAAGAUGCAAUUGAAGACCCGCGCGAAUGCAGAGGACUUAUCGUGCAAAUUUCCCGUUUUAAGCAAAAGGGUGUGGAUCCGGGCUGCUAAUCGGGUUGACGCGCGGAUCCUCACCCUAUUAAACGGCGUCGUUUCCUGAUCAGGCCUCUAACAAAUGUUUCCAGCUAUUAUUAAACAUAACCUAUUUCAUAUCAGUAAAAGUUGCAAAUUAGUAAAAUUAAUUUGGAAAUAAUUUAACUCUUUCUUAUACGUUCACCUGUAAAAUUGUUUUGGGAACAAGCAAACUCCAUAAGAAGAGUUAAAUUCACAAUUUGUUUAGGAAUUUCACCUGCAAUUAUAAAAUUUACAUAUCAAAUUCAAAAUUAAUCUCCUAUCAAAGAUUACAAGAAUAAAAUAAAAGCAUAAUAACUUAUAUAGUUCUUCAACUCUAUAACAUUUCAUUUAAUUUUUCGUCUCUUUUAGCCCUUAAAUUUAUUAUGUUUAUCAAAUCACCCCAAAAUGGAUCAAAAAGUCUACGUGUAUGAUGUUAGCAAAUAAUUUUUUAAAAUUUCAAAAAUUCAAGAAAAUAUAUAAAUAUUAUUUAAACAUUAAAAAUAUUAAAAAUUAUAAAAAAAUUUUAAAAUUUAUUUAAUUGCUAACAUGACAUAUAUGUGGCAACCGCGUGUAUGUCACGUCGGUAAAGUUAAUAAAUAUUAAUUUUUUUAUUUAUUUUUUUAAGUAAUUUGACAAGUAAUAUAAUACAAUACAAGUUCAAAAGUUAAAAGAAGCGAAAAAUUAAAUAGAGGGCAAAACUCUAAAUCAAUCAUUAUUCCCGAAGUAAAUAAAGCACCAUUAGAAAGGUAUUACACAUUAUAUUAUAUGUCAUACGCAUUCCAAGUCGAGCUGGAAAUUAAAGAAUAUUUCUCUCAUCAUUUUCUCGUUGUUUAUUCUUCAAUCUUCUUUCGAAAAUUUUCAACUAUGUAUUCCUUUAAUAAAUUAAUUUAUAUUUAAAUGUCAAUGGAAGAUUGAUCUAAAUUAUUAUAUUCAUUAACUUAAUUUCUUUUCCAAAAAAAAAUUCCUUCCUUGCAUCUCAAAGUACUUAAUUAAAAAGUACACACUUCAAAAGGUUUAAAAAAGGGUUACCAUAUAUUACCUCCAAAGUGGUUCCGACCAAUAUAAUAGUAUUGAAGCAUACUCAGAUUCCCAAUUUCUAUUGGUAGGCUCCCCUCCAUUUGGUUGUACGGUAAAGAUAACAUUUGUAACUCUUUGCACUUGAAUAGACUGGCAGGAAUUCUACCAGAAAGCAGAUUAACGCUCAAGUGCAAUUCUUUCAAGUUUGGAAGAUAUCAAACAUAUCUUUUGGAAUAUGACCACCGAGAUUAUUGGAGGUGAAAUCAAUCAAUUGUAGCGAAAGCAAAUCACGUGGAACAGAGGGUAUGGAGCCAGAGAGCAUAUUAUCACUUAGAUAAAUAUUUUGCAAUGAAUAUAUAUUGAAGAUUGAAGAGGGAAUUGAACCUGAAAUCUGGUUUUGAGACAAGCUCAAGGUCUGUAGCUUUGGCAAAUAGCCUAAAGAGAAUGGAAUAACACCUUUGAAGUUGUUAUCGUGCAAAAACAACCUUCGAAGUUCAGUUAAUGAUCCCAACCAUGAUGGGAUUUCUCCACUGAAGGAGUUGUUACCAAAGAUUAAAUAUUUCAGCCGAUGCAAAUUGGAUAACUGGACAGGUAAUAUGCCAUAGAAACUAUUAUUUCUGAUACGAAGGAGAGAAAGGAAUGAUAAAUUUCCCAAUUGAGGUGGAAGGAUGUCUACGAGUCCCAACCCAGGACACAACUUACACCAAACCAAUAGCAAACAGGGGCAGAGGCUGACCAGUUAGUUGUCAAGACAUUUUCAGGAUCAUGAAUAACAUGAUCUUUUAGUGCUAGAAGAGCUGAUUGAUCUGUAAGUACGGUGGUUAAUUUUGUAAAUGCCCAAAUUACCGGGCCCAAUGAACAAACAAAAUAAUACCAAGCCCAAAUUGCCAACCCAUUAACCCAAAUCCAUUACACCCUAUUACACCCAAAAACAAACUAAACCAACUAAGCCCAAUGAACCAACACCAGGCCCAAGGCCUUAAGCCAACUUAGAAACCCUAGGGUUUCUGAGCCUCUUCCACGCUACCACCGCCUCUACUGCCACCGACCCGUCCCAUCACCCGCAAAACAAAAACAGAGAGCAAAAACACGCAACAGCAGCAAAAAGAAGCAAACGAUGAUAAAAAAUGAUAUCUUUCGGCUAUAAGAGCCACUUUUUCUCAAGAACGGGGGGGUUUUUUAAAGAGGGGCCGAUUGUAUUCUAAAAGGGCGUUUUUUUAAAAAAAAAAUUGUAACACAGAUUAAAGAAUCAAAAAAAGCAAAAACAGAAAAGAGGUUGAUUUUGGAAUAUCGUUCUCUCCUUUUUUUCGUUACGAUCUUUUUUUAUUUAUUUAUCUUUUUUUUAUCUACUUUAAAAAAGAAUAAAAAGAAGGAAGAGGGAACUUACUCGGGUUUCCCAUGAAUGCCUCGCCAGGGCUCCUCCCUCUACCGUCGAGUUCGAACCUAAGGAAGGAGGGGAGGUGUCUUCCUAUCUCGAUUUUCCAAACUUUGAAGAUUUGGCCUUCAAACGUGGCUCAAUCAAGGGCUGAAAAGCCCGUUUGUUGCUGUCACAACCACCGUCCAUGGUGGAGGAAUGAAAGGCGAUGGCGGCGCAAGAGCUAGGGUUUCGAAACCCUAGCAGAGAAGAAAAGAGAGCCCUUUCUGUUUUUUUUGUUUGUUUGUUUGAAGCAGCAGAAUAAUUUUGAAAUAAAAAAAUGGGUCUUUAUACAGGCUCAAAACGGUGCCGUUUGGGGGACCAACAUCACAGCGCCAAAACGGCGCCGUAUUCGCUGACCGGUUUUGACCCGACCCGAUUGCCCCUGGGAUCCGCGUUUUUCUGUGGUGAGGGAAUAAUUACACACUUGGUCCUUCUCCUUUCGCGCCGGCUUUCAAUUGGUUCCUGUUUGCGUGUUAUUUAUUUUCAAUUUUUUCCCAAAAUCUGUAUACUGUUGCAGUUUAGUCCGCAUCUCAGCGUCAUGUUUUAGGACUUGGAUUAUUUCCAGGUUUAGUCCUUAUACAUUUGGGCUCAUUACAUAUUGGUCCUUUUUUUUAUUAUAUACUAAAUUAACGUACUUAAUAUAUUAUUAUUACUUUAACUUAUUAUUAU
rnacentral:lncRNA from 1 species